rnacentral:rRNA from 1 species
AUACGGAGGUUGCAAGCGUUGUUCGGAAUCACUGGGCGUAAAGGGCGCGCAGGCGGUUUGGUAAGUCAGAUGUGAAAGCCCACGGCUCAACCGUGGAAGUGCAUUUGAAACUGUCAGACUUGAGUACUAGAGGGGAAAGUGGAAUUCCCGGUGUAGAGGUGAAAUUCGUAGAUAUCGGGAGGAAUACCGGUGGCGAAGGCGACUUUCUGGCUAGAUACUGACGCUGAGGCGCGAAAGCGUGGGGAGCAAACAGGAUUAGAAACCCUAGUAGUCC